rnacentral:rRNA from 1 species
UUACUUCUUACGCUUGGCUCAGAACGAACGCUGGCGGCAUGCCUUACACAUGCAAGUCGAACGGCAGCAUAGGAGCUUGCUCCUGAUGGCGAGUGGCGAACGGGUGAGUAAUAUAUCGGAACGUGCCCUAGAGUGGGGGAUAACUAGUCGAAAGAUUAGCUAAUACCGCAUACGAUCUACGGAUGAAAGUGGGGGAUCGCAAGACCUCAUGCUCCUGGAGCGGCCGAUAUCUGAUUAGCUAGUUGGUGGGGUAAAAGCCUACCAAGGCGACGAUCAGUAGCUGGUCUGAGAGGACGACCAGCCACACUGGGACUGAGACACGGCCCAGACUCCUACGGGAGGCAGCAGUGGGGAAUUUUGGACAAUGGGGGCAACCCUGAUCCAGCAAUGCCGCGUGAGUGAAGAAGGCCUUCGGGUUGUAAAGCUCUUUUGUCAGGGAAGAAGUUUGGCUAAUAUCCAGAACUAAUGACGGUACCUGAAGAAUAAGCACCGGCUAACUACGUGCCAGCAGCCGCGGUAAUACGUAGGGUGCAAGCGUUAAUCGGAAUUACUGGGCGUAAAGCGUGCGCAGGCGGUUGUGUAAGACAGAUGUGAAAUCCCCGGGCUCAACCUGGGAAUUGCAUUUGUGACUGCACGGCUAGAGUGUGUCAGAGGGGGGUAGAAUUCCACGUGUAGCAGUGAAAUGCGUAGAUAUGUGGAGGAAUACCGAUGGCGAAGGCAGCCCCCUGGGAUAACACUGACGCUCAUGCACGAAAGCGUGGGGAGCAAACAGGAUUAGAUACCUGGUAGUCCACGCCCUAAACGAUGUCUACUAGUUGUCGGGUCUUAAUUGACUUGGUAACGCAGCUAACGCGUGAAGUAGACCGCCUGGGGAGUACGGUCGCAAGAUUAAGACUCAAAGGAAUUGACGGGGACCCGCACAAGCGGUGGAUGAUGUGGAUUAAUUCGAUGCAACGCGAAAAACCUUACCUACCCUUGACAUGGUCGGAAUCCUGAAGAGAUUUGGGAGUGCUCGAAAGAGAACCGGCGCACAGGUGCUGCAUGGCUGUCGUCAGGUCGUGUCGUGAGAUGUUGGGUUAAGUCCCGCAACGAGCGCAACCCUUGUCAUUAGUUGCUACGAAAGGGCACUCUAAUGAGACUGCCGGUGACAAACCGGAGGAAGGUGGGGAUGACGUCAAGUCCUCAUGGCCCUUAUGGGUAGGGCUUCACACGUCAUACAAUGGUACAUACAGAGGGCCGCCAACCCGCGAGGGGGAGCUAAUCCCAGAAAGUGUAUCGUAGUCCGGAUUGGAGUCUGCAACUCGACUCCAUGAAGUUGGAAUCGCUAGUAAUCGCGGAUCAGCAUGUCGCGGUGAAUACGUUCCCGGGUCUUGUACACACCGCCCGUCACACCAUGGGAGCGGGUUUUACCAGAAGUGGGUAGCCUAACCGCAAGGAGGGCGCUCACCACGGUAGGAUUCGUGACUGGGGUGAAGUCGUACA